rnacentral:rRNA from 1 species
UACAGAGGGUGCAAGCGUUGUUCGGAAUUACUGGGCGUAAAGCGCGUGUAGGCGGCGGCGUAAGUCGGGUGUGAAAUCCCUCAGCUCAACUGAGGAAGUGCACUCGAUACUGUGUCGCUUGAAUGUCGGAGGGGAUGGCGGAAUUCCCGGUGUAGAGGUGAAAUUCGUAGAUAUCGGGAGGAACACCUGUGGCGAAGGCGGCCAUCUGGACGACAAUUGAUGCUGAGGCGCGAAAGCGUGGGUAGCAAACAGG